rnacentral:rRNA from 1 species
CCUACGGGAGGCUGCAGUGAGGAAUAUUGGUCAAUGGGCGUAAGCCUGAACCAGCCAAGUCGCGUGAGGGAUGAAGGUUCUAUGGAUCGUAAACCUCUUUUAUAAGGGAAUAAAGUGUGGGACGUGUCCUGUUUUGUAUGUACCUUAUGAAUAAGGAUCGGCUAACUCCGGGCCAGCAGCCGCGGUAAUACGGAGGAUCCGAGCGUUAUCCGGAUUUAUUGGGUUUAAGGGGUGCGUAGGCGGCCUUUUAAGUCAGCGGUGAAAGUCUGUGGCUCAACCAGAGAAUUGCCGUUGAAACUGGGAGGCUUGAGUAUGUUUGAGGCAGGCGGAAUGCGUGGUGUAGCGGUGAAAUGCUUAGAUAUCACGCAGAACCCCGAUUGCGAAGGCAGCCUGCCAAGCCAUGACUGACGCUGAUGCACGAAAGCGUGGGGAUCAAACAGGAUUAGAUACCCGGGUAGUC